UUCUUCUUUUGGUAAAGAGGGCGAUUCUCUUGUGAAGAAGUUAUUUCCGGUUGGUUUGGAUAUGCUCAUGCGUACCAGGGCAUUAAAAUUUAUUUUUGGAAAUGAAAAGCUUUAUUCUAUCAAGUUUGGAAAGGUCUGGGCGGUGAUCAAUCGGACAAUUGCUACGCCAUUCGCCAGUUUUACAGUUGACUCAAGAGACACUAGGUUUGGUACUUCUUGCCGGUUCUAACUUCGAUACCAUCUGCAAGUCUCAUUGUCGAUUCAAGACAUACCAGAAGACGCUAUAAGGGCAUCAUUCUCAAUCGCCAAGAUGACGAAUUUCCUAUCCCAUGCCAGCCAUCUUAACACUUUUCUCACUAUUAAUAGAAGGGAUCGGGACCAUAUUUUGAUAGUUUUAUCACGAGUGAAGACGUUCAACUUCCACAACUUGCUUGUGGCGACAUACAUACUGCCAGCAUUAGAAGAUAGCUCAUUGGGUACCGAUGAAGAAUGAAAAAUUUCCAUGAGGUUGAAGAAUUAUAUUUGUAAUUUUACAUUUCUAGUUAACUUUAAAAUUGUUAUAGCUUUUUAGGAAUUUCGUGUUGCACUCUUUUCCUUAGUCAAGGUUUUACCAUUAUGGGUUUUCUUUGGCAGGGUUUUUAACGAGGCAAAUGUGUGUCAUAUUUUCUUCCAAGUCUUUAAUUUACUUUAUACGUAUUUCUUA